UAAACAUUUACUUUCAGAUUAUAAGACAUGCUUAUUCUUGUUGGAUGCCAGAUCGUCGUCAUAGAACCUGACCUGGAUAGGACCUUCUGCCUUGCUUUCGCACUUUCCCAGGACACUGAAACUGAAGUCGGAUUUCCUACAGCAUCAGACUGUAGUCCGUCCCAUUCUUCAGGUCCUCCGACCCAAGGUCCAACAAACAGGAUGUGCGCAGGCUGGCAGAAGGUGCCAUGGGGCUACAGAGAUGACUGGCUCCCAGUUCUAGAUCUUCAGAUUCGAGUAUACCACGUGGAGUAGCCACGAAACCAGGAAAAUAUAAAGCUUCAUUGGUACCAGGAAAUAUUCUUCAAGCUGCCAAGAGAAGGAAGCAAUUAAGAGUUCUACCCACUUUCAUGAGGGAUGGAAAUGGAGAAGAGCCUGGGGAAAAGAAGGUCUGCG